rnacentral:lncRNA from 1 species
CAAGGUUUUUAUAGUACUCAGUAUUUGAUAAUAUUUUUAGAAGGUUCUGUUUUAAAUCCUAGGGGUUGUAGGAACAGCAUGCAUAACCUUAUUAUUUACCUGUAUUUAUAUUUAAUAUUCGCACAAAUGAAAGACUUUAUUUUUUGCGCAAUAGCAAAGAUAUUGAUAAAAAAAAAUUGCAUAAUACAAACCAUUUAUGGUUCUCUGUUAGACAUAUGAGCAGACACUAAGUAGCAAAAAGUGCCACUUAAUAUAGAUCAUUGUAGAUCUGAGUGUAUGAUUCAAUGUUGAAUACAAUAUAACAAGGGUUAUUUUCAUGCAAUGUGGUUUGCCAUUUUUAUUUCACAUGCAGCUGUGCAAAAGGUUAAUUAUUCACUGUGUUUUGUGAAAUCGUAAAAAAAAAUAGAUGUGCAAGAAUUUUUUAAUUGUUCGUUCAUCUUGAAAUGAAAAUUUAUUUUUGGUUUUACCAUGCAGAUACCCCCGUUUACGUCCCUCUAUAACUUGCAUGAUGUGAAUGGGUUUAUCUAUUGGCUUUAAUAUUAUUAUUACAUUUAUAAAAUUAAUAAUUGUUGUGAUUUUCAAGUGAAAUAAAAACACAUAAUUUCACACACUCUGACGUCAUCCAAUGAAAAACUUUGUCAGUGAUGUUACAUCGAAACAAAAUGGGAACACGCAGAAAAGAUAAACUUAUGUUUUAAUUUUAUUUCAAUUUUAAAGCCCAAAGUCAAUUUAAUAAUAAGAGUUACUAACUAGAUAUAAACAAAAAUCCACUUGUGACUUAACACUAAUAAUUAAUCCAA